ACCAGGCUCUCCAUAUGCUGGGGAAGGAAACAGACAGACCCAUAGGGAUGAUGGUCAUCAAACCCAGGACUCUUUUGAGAUCAAGAGCUGAUUCCUUCCUGGAGUGCAAGGAGAUAGGAGAGGUUGUUCAUCUCCUAGAUCAGUGGGUAAAAAGGACAAGAAAUCAAGCCUGAACAGUCUCAUAAUUUCUUGGAGGGUGAUUAUGCAAAAUACAACAAGCUACCCUGAGAACAUCAUGGUUCCUUCUUCCUUGUGCGUGGCCUCUCACACGUCAAGUCACGUUCUCCCAAACGACACUAGUCCAGGCACAAACAGCUGGCAGACUCCACAUGAAGACCUCCUAUAAGAGGGGACUGUAAUGCACUAGAAGGAACACUGGACCUGCCAGGCAUUACUUGGAGCCUUGGUUUCCUUCUUUGUAAAGCAAAUCUACCUUCAUGUUCCUGUAAGCUUCCCCUGGGUUGUACUGAAAACUUGCUUCUCCAAGGCCUGAGAACACACCUGCAAAAUAGGGCACCUUUGACAGAAUGAAGACAGGCCACGGCCAGGUAGAUCCGAAGAGGAAGAUGACUUCUUUUACAGGACUUCACAGUCAGCUGGCAUCAUGGGUAAAAUUCUGGGCAUGGUGUCAAGAAGACCUGGCAUCAGAUCCUGCCAUGCCAUUUACUUGCUAUGUGACUUUGAGCAGAUACUUACCAUCAACAACAGCAACAACAAGCAUUAAUUAAGUGCUUACUG